rnacentral:rRNA from 1 species
CUCAACCCGGGAAUUGCAUUGCAUACUGGCGGGCUAGAGUACAGUAGAGGGAGGUGGAACGACCGGUGUAGCGGUGAAAUGCGUAGAGAUCGGUCAGAACACCAGUGGCGAAGGCGGCCUCCUGGACUGAUACUGACGCUGAGGCGCGAAAGCGUGGGGAGCAAACAGGAUUAGAUACCCUGGUAGUCCACGCCGUAAACGAUGAGAACUAGCCGUUGGGGCCUUCGGGCCUUGGUGGCGCAGCUAACGCGAUAAGUUCUCCGCCUGGGGAGUACGGCCGCAAGGCUAAAACUCAAAUGAAUUGACGGGGGCCCGCACAAGCGGUGGAGCAUGUGGUUUAAUUCGAUGCAACGCGAAGAACCUUACCGGCCCUUGACAUCCUCGGAAUCCUGCAGAGAUGCGGGAGUGCCUUCGGGAGCCG